CCUACGGGAGGCAGCAGUGGGGAAUAUUGCGCAAUGGGCGAAAGCCUGACGCAGCGACGCCGCGUGAGGGAUGAAGGUCUUCGGAUCGUAAACCUCUGUCAGCAGGGAAGAACGGUCACUGUGCUAAUCAGCAGUGAAUUGACGGUACCUGCAAAGGAAGCACCGGCUAACUCCGUGCCAGCAGCCGCGGUAAUACGGAGGGUGCGAGCGUUAAUCGGAAUUACUGGGCGUAAAGCGCUCGUAGGCGGUAUGUCAAGUCAAGGGGGAAAUCCCCGCGCUCAACGUGGGAACUGCCUUUGAAACGGGCAAACUGGAGUGUGAGAGAGGAUAGUGGAAUUCCAGGUGUAGGAGUGAAAUCCGUAGAUAUCUGGAGGAACAUCAGUGGCGAAGGCGACUAUCUGGCACAUAACUGACGCUGAGGAGCGAAAGCGUGGGUAGCAAACAGGAUUAGAUACCCCUGUAGUC
rnacentral:rRNA from 1 species